rnacentral:lncRNA from 1 species
AGAUCACUCGGUGCUCAAACUACUUGUGGUUUUAGGGCACAAUGAGCCGAAUAAAUUCAUACAUGUGGGGAAAAAAAGUUCCGUGGAUCACAACUAUGGUAGCUUACGCCUCUAUUCUUUUGUGUUCUAAACAACUCGUGGCAGUGAGAAACACAUUUCAUGCGGCAUCGAACGAUGAGCUCGUGAUGGCCAUGAAACUUGGAAGGCAUUAUGAACAGAUGUGUCAUGCAUUUGUGGCAAUCUCAGAUAGGAUGGCUACUUUGUUGCUCAGCGGGUGCAUCAGCAUUGAGCCAUUAUAAUUCCCUAUGC